AGGUGACUUUUCAGUGUCUGCAAAUGGCGGAAACGAGUGCCACAGAUCUCGCAUGGAUAUGGCUUCUCUCCGGUAUGAAUCAGAACGUGAGCCCGAAGCAUUAAAGAUGUAUGAGAGGCCUACGAAUCCACUCUAAGAAUUUCCUUUUUCCUCGAGGACUGAAAUCUUGUGUGCGGCUUUGAGUUUGUGAGCUUUAAAAGCUGCUUGAGGUUUAUCUCAUGCAACAGAGGAAGUGGUGCGGGAAGAAGAGUGCGUCGGCCCUAACGUUUUGUGUGUACAACAGGAUAUCCGACGCUGGGAGCGUUAGCCUCAUGUCAAGAGGUGAUAUAAAAGAUAGAUUGUCGCUUGUAUUCUUAACAAGUACUGAAACUGUUUUUGUAUUUGUGUUUUUUUUCUUUUGUCUUUUUGUCUUUCAGCACAUCUGCUCUCUUGCUGUAUCGCUGUAGUCCUCUUUUUGGAGUGCAGACGUCUCAUUUCAGCUUGUUGCAUGUAGUAAUAUGGCUCAAAAAAGCAAAACAUUGCUUUUCUGGAACUCGUCCCUUCUCAUACUUGUAGAAAUUCUGUUUACUUAAAGUGUUGGAUUUAUUUAUAGGCAAAAACAUUAAUUGCCAGUUGACUGACAUCUGGAAAACACAGGGAUUUCAUGCUGGGGCAAUGGUAAUUGUUUUCAGAUUUGUUUUAGAGUGUCUUUUUGAUCAAAUUUGUGUGAGAGCAAGUGAGAGAGAAGGAAAGAAGAAGCAGAGGGAGCCAGACACUACUCAUGGGGCCCAUUAGGAAAUUGCCAGUAAGCAAAGUUGCAAAUAAGCUGUCACACAGUACAAAUGAGAUUACCUUUUCAACGUGCCCUGGAACCUGCACACCGGGGGAUGCAGAACCAGUCACGGCAAAACAAGGCACAAUCGUCUGAUUUAUCUCAGCGCUUGAUCUUCUGGUGGUGUUCUUUCUGCCUCUGUUUUUCAUGCAUGGUGUGCAAAACAGUUUACAAAGUGCUUGCAGCACAAGUUAAUCAGUUGUAGACAACCUCUGAAGCGAGUCGACAUAGUGUUUCAAGUCAGGGAUUUCACUUAUAGUCAUCAGUGCUGAUUUUAUACGCAUACAGAGAAACUUAGUUGCAUAUUUCUGUCUAAAUUGUUUACUCCUGCUUUUCACCUUUUGAUCAGCCUGUUGAUGAAUUGAUGAUUUGUUUUCAUUUGUUGAAGAGAUAUAGACGUACUCUGCAGGUGUCUCUUGCAGUAUGGGCAUAUUUAUGUCCCAGGGUUUGAUUUUUAUUACAUUUAAUCCUUUUUUCUUUUUUUGAAAGGUCACAUUAAAGUCACAUUUUUACAGUGCCUUUGUCCCUCUCUCUCUCUCUCUAUUUAGUUGUAAAGUGUAAAAUUAAGUAAUAAAUAAAACAAAGAUUAUAGAUGUUUGUUUUUCAAUAAAAUACUAAUUCAGCCUUUCUACUUCUAAAUUUCAUACAAUAUCUAUCUAUCUGUCUAUCUAUCUAUCUAUCUAUCUAUCU